rnacentral:miRNA from 1 species
GCCUCUUCCUCUCAGUCCCAUAUUGAACUCGAGUUGGAAGAGGCGAGUCCGGUCUCAAA